GGCUUCAUGGUCUAGUGGUAUGAUUCGUGCUUUGGGAGUUCUGCUCAACUGUACGAGGCCCCGGGUUCGAACCCCGGUGGAGCCC